AUUUCCUGCACAGUGUCCCUUUAAAGGAAAAUCCCUACUAGUUUCAACAUCCAAUUAUAUUGUUCUCACUACCACUGGUUUGUCAGGACCCAACAACGCAGUUCAGGAUAAAUGUGUAUGUCAACUGUAUUGUAGGCCUAUGACUUUAACAAUACAAUCACAAUAACUGCUUAUUUUUUGGCUGUAGGACACAAGUAAAAGGAGAAGAAUGCUGCUCAGCUGGGUCGGCGGCCACACUACUUAUUCAAGAAGCCCUUGGAUAUCAUCAGCAUGUAUGAAACUUGUGGUGAGAUGCCAAGAGCUGCCAUGAGGGAUAUGCAACCUGCAGCUUCACCGUGCUUUUGGGAGGUCAUCUACUACGUGAACCUUAAUAUCUACAAGCCAGCUACUUUAAAUCCUUGAAAGGGUAGUGAUGUCAAUCAAACCAGAUCACGAGACAAGGUCCUGAGGUACAAACUGUCAAUAUAAUUGUGACAUCCCUGUCAGUUCUUUUGGACUGGAUACAUGCUGUGUUUGAAAUGUAUUAUUUGGAUAACCACCCAUCAGGGAAUAGACCUGCCAUGGACAUGUAGUGCACACUUUGAUGUUUUUUUAUUUUAACGUUUUCUAUGUUUUUUCAAUGUUUUUUUAUUUAUGUUCUGUUAUAUGCUGGUUAUGUAAGUACUGUAUGGAAUGUAGUGACUGUAGAGACCAAGACAAAUUUCAACCUGGGGACAAAAAAGUUCACUCCACUCUGUUAGCGCAGUUAUGGAUGCACUGUAAAUUUUGUAAUUAACAAAAAGUACGGUGAGAAGCCUGUUUGUGCAGAUGGACCUGCUGGCGGGUCUGUUUACUCAUAGCUAAAAAGCAACAUAUUCUCUGUGCAAAGCACAUGGGCUCUUCGCAAAGGGGUUAAACAUUUUAAUGUGCUGUUUUACAGUGUGCUAUACAAAAGGUAAGGUGAAACUAAAUUUUUGAAUUUCUAUAAUUGUACAGUGUCACUGAAAUCAAAUGGUACAUUGGUAAAACAGAACCAUUUCCUUUAACCCCUUUUAGCAGACCCUAUGUUUUAACUUUACUGUCACCAAUAUUGUAAUGACUGAGUUUUAACCUGUUACUUAAAGCUCUUGGUAAUGUCAUAGCAAUGUUGCUGUGAUGUAGUUGAGUCUUUUCGGUCAUGAGUGAUCAUGCUGAUAACCCAUCUUUGCAAAGAGGCUAAAAAGAUGCAUGUAAAUUCAAUUAAGGUUUUAUUGCUUCAAUGCUAUGAUGUGUUAAUGCUACACUGCUGUGAUUUGCAUCUUUAUAGUAUACUUUUAUGAAAUGUAUUGUUAAUUAUCUACAUUGUUCAGCAAUAAAAAAAGAGAUCUGAAAUAUUA